GACGAACGCUGGCGGCGUGCCUAAUACAUGCAAGUCGAACGAAGCUGUUUUAACUGGUGCUUGCACCGACUUAAACAACUGAGUGGCGAACGGGUGAGUAACACGUGGGUAACCUGCCCCAAAGCGGGGGAUAACAUUUGGAAACAGAUGCUAAUACCGCAUAAUCACAGAAACCACAUGGUUUCUGUGUCAAAGAUGGUUUCGGCUAUCACUUUGGGAUGGACCCGCGGCGUAUUAGCUAGUUGGUAAGGUAAUGGCUUACCAAGGCAAUGAUACGUAGCGGAACUGAGAGGUUGAUCGGCCAAAUGGGGACUGAGCCACGGCCCAAACUCCUACGGGAGGCAGCAGGAGGGAAUCUUCCACAAUGGACGAAAGUCUGAUGGAGCAACGCCGCGUGAGUGAAGAAGGUUUUCGGAUCGUAAAACUCUGUUGUCAGAGAAGAACGUGUGCGAGAGUAACUGUUCGUGCAGUGACGGUAUCUGGCCAGAAAGCCACGGCUAACUACGUGCCAGCCGCCGCCGUAA
rnacentral:rRNA from 1 species